GCCGUCAUGACGAUGACCCCCGGCGGCAGCGAGAGGCCGCCCAGCGCCGGGAUGGCCGAGAAGGUGCCGACGCGCUCGGGGAGAUGCUUUACCUGAACAGUUUAGGCAUUUCUAGCAUCUUUUCCGAUGGACGGCGAUCGAUCGGAAGCGCUCGCUUCAGGGCCGCUAAUGGGGCCGCGUCUCGUUUCCAGACGCCGACGCUACCAGCCUGCCUGCCUUUAAUUAGUUGCACAUCAGUCCCUAACACAAA